GCGCCCAUGGAACAGCAGGAAAGAGGAAAGAAAAAGAAAGAAAAUAUUAAAAGAAAAAAGCAUUGACUCUCUCCAAGCAAGAUCAUUCUGCUUAAGAUAAUCCUAUUUCCCCGCCAAAGUGGUUCUACAGUGAAGAUGGAUUUUGAUAUUUUCCAAAGUGUUUUCAAUUUAUGAUGGGUUUAACCCCAUCGUAAGUGGAGGAAGUACUGUUAUUUAAAAUCGAACACGAGG